rnacentral:misc_RNA from 1 species
GGGAGACCUCUUUUUCGGUGGAUCCGUUCAAGCUAGUCUCUUUUUCGUUGGAUUCAUUCAAGCUAGUCUCCGGCUGAGGGCUUGGUUCAGGGGUGUUGUGAUUCGAUGAAGAAUCAUUUUCUGAUGAAGAAAAGAAUCUAAUCUUUGACGGAACAACUGUGCGAUGAAUGAUUUUACUGCUACUGGUGCUGCUGUUGAAAUAAUUUGGAUUUGACUUGAAGUUUUGAGAGAGAUGGAAAUUGCGGGAGCACAGAGAUAGAGCUCGUC